rnacentral:rRNA from 1 species
UUAAGUAUCCCCGCCUGGGGACUACGGUCGCAAGAUUANAACUCANAGGAAUAGACGGGGACCCACACAAGCGGUGGAGCAUGUGGUUUAAUUCGAUGGUAAACGGGGAACCUCACCCAGACUUGACAUCUCGAGAAUCCUCCGGAAACGGGGGAGUGCCGCAAGGAACUCGAAGACAGGUGCUGCAUGGUUGUCGUCAGCUCGUGCCUUGAGGUGUUCGGUUAAGUCCGUGAACGAGCGCAACCCUUGUCCUGUGUUGUAUUUUCACAGGAGACUGCCGGCUUUAAGUCGGAGGAAGGCAAGGAUGACGUCAAAUCAGCAUGGCCCUUAUGUCUGGGGCUACACACGUGCUACAAUGGCCGGUACAAAAGGCAGCAAUCCCGCAAGGGGGAGCCAAUCCCAAAAACCGGUCUCAGUUCAGAUUGAGGGCUGCAACUCGCCCUCAUGAAGCUGGAAUCGCUAGUAACCGCGCAUCAGCCAUGGUGCGGUGAAUACGUUCCUGGGUCUUGUACUCACCGCCCGUCACACUAUGAAAGGUGAGAGUGCCCGAAGUACCGUU